rnacentral:lncRNA from 1 species
AAAGCAACGCCGCUAAGGCGUCAUAGUAGAGGCGACGUGCACCAAACCAAGCCUUCAACCUUGCACGCAUGGGCGCCCAACAACCGUCGCCGGAGACCACGAGGGCGACCACCAAGUCGCACCGAUGAGAUCCAUAGGUCUGCAUGCAUGUCAAGGGUGAAUGCCAGGACCAACAUGUUCAAUACAUCAAGAUUAGUUGCUAUAAAACAUGAGCAUCAUGUUGACUCCAGGAGCAAACCAAAAGACGACCAACAGUAGGAAAAAUAUUAUCAUCGCUAAAAGCAUGACAAUUCACAUCACAGAAUCAACCAUGGCUCCAUGGCCGGCAUGAAGAGGGGGCCAUAGCUUGAAAGAUAUGUCACAGAGCUAAGAAAACCAGGAAAUUACCAGAAUGAUUGUAGCCGAGGCUGUAUGGAAAACAUGACUUUGACUAUGUGAUAGUAUCUGAUUUAGAAAUGACGAAAGGCAUUGGCUUGGCAAGUAACCAAUAGGACACCAUCUUGGGUAUCAGGAAUGAUUCCACACAAGACAUCAGGAAAAACAUAAUUCGACAUAGAGUAGCUGAUGUCCUUGCUACAAGGGCAUCAUUCCAGCAGAACAAGCCAUAUGUGUGGAGAUAAAUUGCGACCUUUGUUCAGGUAGAAUGCGAGAAAACUUGGCAUUUGGAGAUACAGAUACGAAACAAGAGAAAACUCGACUAAUCCUUGGUCCUAAUGAGACCUUAAAUGACAUGUCAAUCGAGUGUUCUAGUGUUUUAGCCACUUUAUUAUUUAUCAAGCAUCGCAAGAAACCUUGUUUCUAUCCUCCAAUUUUUCUGUACUGAAGUAAUCCAUGGACAUAAGUAGUGUUAAAGAAAAGAUAUUUGUGUAGCAGGAAGAGCAAACAUCCAAUCUGUAGGAUUCAACACGAGUGUCAAGACUUGCAGGCAGGAGGCAAACAAUGAUAGACAUCAAUCCAUUCCAUUCUAUCUACACAACAAUCUCAUCUGGAUAUCAUGUUCACUUGGCAGAAUUCUAUUAUUAAAAUAUCAGCACUCAAUGAUUACUGUAGUAUCCAGAUAAGUAGAUCCAGGGAACAAAGGAACUCACAAGGUCCAUGUUGCAGAGCAGGAAGGAGAAGAAGCAAGCAGAGGGCGACGAUAGUCCAGCGCUUGGGGAACUGCUUCCACCAGGAAGGAGAAAAAGCUUCAUCUCUCCUCAAACAAAGCAGUGAUCAAUAGUCUUCUAAGGCUGUCGCUUCUAGAUCUUUGAAGGUGCCGCUUCAGCAGCGAUAUCUUUGCUUCUUCCGGCAUCCAACCAGUUGCUCCU